GCUGAACUGGCCGGACGUUGUUCUUGUAGACCGGAGCCAAUGGCAACUUUAGUGCUUCUAUCUGCUCCUUCGAAAUCGUCUUUGCCUGCGAGGUCUCCGAGUGCAACGUAAACCUCUUCGUUGGUGCCGGUUCCAUUCGCUAACGCCGCCAAUUUGUCUUGUACCUGCAAUUUCGCCGGGCGAUUUUACGGGGAUCGGGAUCGCCGUAUUGGAGGAGGAUUCCUAUGACUGAGAGGCUGCCGUCGUCUGCUUGAUGGAGUAGAUGAAGUUCGGCUGCAAAUCUGUUCGAAUUGGAAAGUUCGGAGGUCAGUUGAAAUCCAAAACUCCAAAAAAAUUAUCUAACGGAUGAAUUUGCUUAUAUUCAUGAGGAAAUUCAUUGAUUCAACUCUGCUCGCUUAACUAAUUGUAAGGUUUUAACCUCAGUUUUAGUCUCUAAUGUAUUCACAUUUUAAAACUAUUGUUU